rnacentral:rRNA from 1 species
AUUCCAGCUCCAAUAGCGUAUAUUAAAAUUGUUGCAGUUAAAAAGCUCGUAGUUGGAGUUCAGAGUGAGCUCAGCCGGUCCGUCUCAUGGGUGAGUACUGGUCGACUCUCUCUUGUUUGUGAAUCCCGCCCGGAGUUAAUUCUUCGGGAUGUGGAGUUCACAUCGUUUACCUUGAAAAAAUUAGAGUGUUCAAAGCAGGCGUUUGCUUGAAUAUAUUAGCAUGGAAUAAUGGAAUAGGACCCUGGUUCUAUUUUGUUGGUUUUGAGAACCAGAGUAAUGAUUAAUAGGGAUAGUUGGGGGCAUUCAUAUUUCAUUGUCAGAGGUGAAAUUCUUGGAUUUAUGAAAGAUGAACUUCUGCGAAAGCAUUUGCCAAGGAUGUUUUCAUCA